GGGCUUUGAAAAACGCUUUCCUUGAUAAAAUUUAAGCGUUUUAUAAGAGGAUGCCCGGGAAGGUUUUCCGGUUUAUCCCGGAGGGCUUGUAGCUCAGUUGGUUAGAGCGCGCGCUUGAUAAGCGUGAGGUCGGAGGUUCAAGUCCUCCCAGGCCCACCAGUUUAUCCAUUACUUUCAUAAGUGCUUUUAAAAAAUAAGUACUUCUAAAAAGAUUGCUUCUAAAAAGCUUAUCAAAAUUGGCAGGCUUAUUGCUUUUGUGUGAGUAAUCCAAAGUUAAAGCAAAUUAAUGGCAAAAAAACAGUUCAAAUGCUAAAUACUAAGGAGUCAAAAUUCCUUGCAAAGUGAUUUUUACAGCGUCCAUUUGGUUGAUAUAAAUUCCAAAUGCUCAUAGACGUCAAUGCCUAUAUGAAACUAUCGGUUCAAUCAUAUCGCUUUGAGUUAUAUAGAUUUUGUAAUCCCUCUUUUGAUCGUUUUAAACGCUUUAUCCUGAUUUAGGGGCCGUAGCUCAGCUGGGAGAGCACCUGCUUUGCAAGCAGGG
rnacentral:misc_RNA from 1 species